GGGGGUGAACUGGUUUCGACCGUGAGGGUCGAAGCGCCGGAAGCGAGCCGAGGUCCCCGGAGUCCUCGUAAAAGAGCCGGGAACAACCAACAAGUGCCGAAGACAACUUCGCACUCGCUGCCUGAUUGAGCAGCGUGUCCGCCCGGUGGGUGCCUGCCUCGCCGGGACCGGGCAUCGCAAUGCAGGAUGCCCCCGCCGGGGUUCCGGGACCGGCGGGGAAAGCUCAUCCCGGAUAGGGCCCGAGGGAACUGGCCGACAGAGUCCUCGGGUUCCGAACGCUCGCUGUCGGCUGCGCUCGGAGAUGCCGGCGCGGAAGCCUCAUGGGACGGGGGUUCGAUUCCCCCCACCUCCACCG
rnacentral:tmRNA from 1 species